rnacentral:piRNA from 1 species
UUAUGUAAAAAGGGAAAAAUGCAGA